rfam:Pantoea sp. PSNIH2, complete genome.
ACCUGCGCUGCCAUUUCACGAUCGGUUAAGCCGCCGCAAAUCUGGAUCAGACGAUCUGAUAACGUUGAUUUGCCGUGGUCAAUGUGCGCGAUGAUCGAAAAGUUUCUUAUAUGCUUCAUUAUGGAGGUUAUUCUGCCUUACAAAUGCUGAAACUCUCGCGAUGCAACCUCAGGAGAGCGUGUAAUAUCACAGGCGGAGACGGCCCGAAAGGCGCAUUGUACACGACAUAUCAGGGUGGUGGAAUCAUCGCGCCGGGAGAUAAAGCAAGGAAAACGGGAUGAUAGCGUAUUUGCCGCGAUGGUGGUGAAAAAAAGCGCAAAACAUUAGCCGAACGAGGAUUGCCCGUCCGGCGAAAGCUUACAGCGCCUCUUGCUCCACGCGCAGCGCGUCGGGGGGAAGCAUGAUAUUGAGAAUAACCGGCUGGAAGGCUUCGCGAGCGCCAAAGCGCGACGAGACGCCUUUCGCGACGAUAAAGCCGCCGAUGCCGCCGAGCAGCGCGCCGCAGGCGGCCGCCAGAUCGGUAUGGAACUGCAUCUGGAACAGGCCCGCCAGCAGGAACAAUCCGAGCAGCGGCGUCAUAUACACCAGCAGCGCCGAUCCCAGCAGGCUGCUUUCGCGGAUGCCCAGCUCUACGCGCUGGCCCGGCUGCAGCGGCUUUUCGCUGGCGAUCUGCAUCACGUGCGCGUUUUUCGGCCCCAGCUUGUUCAGCAUGGCGCUGCCGCACCCUUUACGCGCCGAGCAGCUGUUGCAGGUCGUUUUCACUUCCGAGUGCAGCGUGGCGAUGCCGUCCUGCCACGCAACCACCGUGGCCCAUUCUCUCAUCAUCGUUGCGUACCUAAGUUGAUGCUGUCGGCGAUACGC